AGUGAACGCUGGCGGUAGGCCUAACACAUGCAAGUCGAACGGCAGCACAGUAAGAGCUUGCUCUUACGGGUGGCGAGUGGCGGACGGGUGAGGAAUACAUCGGAAUCUACUUUUUCGUGGGGGAUAACGUAGGGAAACUUACGCUAAUACCGCAUACGACCUACGGGUGAAAGCAGGGAAUCUUCGGACCUUGUGCGAUUGAAUGAGCCGAUGUCGGAUUAGCUAGUUGGCGGGGUAAAGGCCCACCAAGGCGACGAUCCGUAGCUGGUCUGAGAGGAUGAUCAGCCACACUGGAACUGAGACACGGUCCAGACUCCUACGGGAGGCAGCAGUGGGGAAUAUUGGACAAUGGGCGCAAGCCUGAUCCAGCCAUACCGCGUGGGUGAAGAAGGCCUUCGGGUUGUAAAGCCCUUUUGUUGGGAAAGAAAAGCAGCAGGUUAAUACCCCGCUGUUCUGACGGUACCCAAAGAAUAAGCACCGGCUAACUUCGUG
rnacentral:rRNA from 1 species